rnacentral:rRNA from 1 species
GAUGAACGCUGGCGGCGUGCCUAAUACAUGCAAGUCGAGCGAACGGACGAGAAGCUUGCUCCUCUGAUGUUAGCGGCGGACGGGUGAGUAACACGUGGAUAACCUACCUAUAAGACUGGGAUAACUUCGGGAAACCGGAGCUAAUACCGGAUAAUAUUUUGAACCGCAUGGUUCAAAAGUGAAAGACGGUCUUGCUGUCACUUAUAGAUGGAUCCGCGCUGCAUUAGCUAGUUGGUAAGGUAACGGCUUACCAAGGCAACGAUGCAUAGCCGACCUGAGAGGGUGAACGGCCACACUGGAACUGAGACACGGUCCAGAAUCCUACGGGAGGCAGCAGUAGGGAAUCUUCCGCAAUGGGCGAAAGCCUGACGGAGCAACGCCGCGUGAGUGAUGAAGGUCUUCGGAUCGUAAAACUCUGUUAUUAGGGAAGAACAUAUGUGUAAGUAACUGUGCACAUCUUGACGGUACCUAAUCAGAAAGCCACGGCUAACUACGUG